rnacentral:rRNA from 1 species
CACAUGCUGUGAGCUCGAUGAGUAGGGCGGGACACGUGGUAUCCUGUCUGAAUAUGGGGGGACCAUCCUCCAAGGCUAAAUACUCCUGACUGACCGAUAGUGAACCAGUACCGUGAGGGAAAGGCGAAAAGAACCCCGGCGAGGGGAGUGAAAAAGAACCUGAAACCGUGUACGUACAAGCAGUGGGAGCCUCUUAAUGGGGUGACUGCGUACCUUUUGUAUAAUGGGUCAGCGACUUAUAUUCUGUAGCAAGGUUAACCGAAUAGGGGAGCCGAAGGGAAACCGAGUCUUAACUGGGCGUUAAGUUGCAGGGUAUAGACCCGAAACCCGGUGAUCUAGCCAUGGGCAGGUUGAAGGUUGGGUAACACUAACUGGAGGACCGAACCGACUAAUGUUGAAAAAUUAGCGGAUGACUUGUGGCUGGGGGUGAAAGGCCAAUCAAACCGGGAGAUAGCUGGUUCUCCCCGAAAGCUAUUUAGGUAGCGCCUCGUGAAUUCAUCUCCGGGGGUAGAGCACUGUUUCGGCAAGGGGGUCAUCCCGACUUACCAACCCGAUGCAAACUGCGAAUACCGGAGAAUGUUAUCACGGGAGACACACGGCGGGUGCUAACGUCCGUCGUGAAGAGGGAAACAACCCAGACCGCCAGCUAAGGUCCCAAAGUCAUGGUUAAGUGGGAAACGAUGUGGGAAGGCCCAGACAGCCAGGAUGUUGGCUUAGAAGCAGCCAUCAUUUAAAGAAAGCGUAAUAGCUCACUGGUCGAGUCGGCCUGCGCGGAAGAUGUAACGGGGCUAAACCAUG